CGAAGUCUGCAACCCGACUUCGUGAAGCUGGAUUCGCUAGUAAUCGCGCAUCAGCCAUGGCGCGGUGAAUACGUUCCCGGGCCUUGUACACACCGCCCGUCAAGCCAUGAAAGCCGGGGGUACCUGAAGUACGUAACCGCAAGGAUCGUCCUAGGGUAAAACUGGUAAUUGGGGCUAAGUCGUAACAAGGUACC
rnacentral:rRNA from 1 species